GGUAGAUAGACUGCUCCAAAGGAAAGGCGCCUGUGAAAAGUUCUGUAAGCGCAAGUUAGCAUUGAGGGUGUGAGGAGCAGACAAAAGAAGGUCAUCGGAAGAGCGGAGACAUUGAUAAGGGGAAACCUAUGAACCAGUGAAGAAAUGUAACUGGGGCUAGAGUUGUUUAGAGCUAAAUAGGGAAAACUUUAAUAACCAUUGCUAUGGUAACAAAACCACGUUGUUUUUUAUGUAUUUUGGUAUUUGGGAGAGUGCGCAGGUAUCUAUUUUGCUUUUAUUUUGAUUAGACAUUUGUUCUGGUGAAUAGCAGCCAUUGCUAAUGUUCUCUAAUGUUAUUUAUUUGUAUGACAGUUUGUUCAAAGCAGCCACUCACCCCUAGCUAUUUAGGGUAAAUUAGUUU